rnacentral:rRNA from 1 species
UACGUAGGUGGCAAGCGUUGUCCGGAUUUACUGGGCGUAAAGAGCGCGCAGGCGGUCGUUUAAGUCGAAUGUGAAAGCCCCCGGCUCAACUGGGGAGGGUCAUUCGAUACUGAUCGACUUGAAGGCAGGAGAGAGAAGUGGAAUUCCCGGUGUAGUGGUGAAAUGCGUAGAUAUCGGGAGGAACACCAGUGGCGAAGGCGACUUCUUGGCCUGUUCUUGACGCUGAGGCGCGGAAAGCUGGGGGGAGCAAACGGG